rnacentral:rRNA from 1 species
AAUCCAUAGGUUAAUGAGGCGAACCGGGGGAACUGAAACAUCUAAGUACCCCGAGGAAAAGAAAUCAACCGAGAUUCCCCCAGUAGCGGCGAGCGAACGGGGAGGAGCCCAGAGCCUGAAUCAGCAUGUGUGUUAGUGGAAGCGUCUGGAAAGGCGCGCGAUACAGGGUGACAGCCCCGUACACAAAAGCGCAUGUGCUGUGAGCUCGAUGAGUAGGGCGGGACACGUGGUAUCCUGUCUGAAUAUGGGGGGACCAUCCUCCAAGGCUAAAUACUCCUGACUGACCGAUAGUGAACCAGUACCGUGAGGGAAAGGCGAAAAGAACCCCGGCGAGGGGAGUGAAAAAGAACCUGAAACCGUGUACGUACAAGCAGUGGGAGCACAGGUUUACCUGUGUGACUGCGUACCUUUUGUAUAAUGGGUCAGCGACUUAUAUUCUGUAGCAAGGUUAACCGAAUAGGGGAGCCGGAGGGAAACCGAGUCUUAAUUGGGCGUUAAGUUGCAGGGUAUAGACCCGAAACCCGGUGAUCUAGCCAUGGGCAGGUUGAAGGUUGGGUAACACUAACUGGAGGACCGAACCGACUAAUGUUGAAAAAUUAGCGGAUGACCUGUGGCUGGGGGUGAAAGGCCAAUCAAACCGGGAGAUAGCUGGUUCUCCCCGAAAGCUAUUUAGGUAGCGCCUCGUGAAUUCAUCUCCGGGGGUAGAGCACUGUUUCGGCUAGGGGGCCAUCCCGGCUUACCAACCCGAUGCAAACUGCGAAUACCGGAGAAUGUUAUCACGGGAGACACACGGCGGGUGCUAACGUCCGUCGUGAAGAGGGAAACAACCCAGACCGCCAGCUAAGGUCCCAAAGUCAUGGUUAAGUGGGAAACGAUGUGGGAAGGCCCAGACAGCCAGGAUGUUGGCUUAGAAGCAGCCAUCAUUUAAAGAAAGCGUAAUAGCUCACUGGUCGAGUCGGCCUGCGCGGAAGAUGUAACGGGGCUAAACCAUGCACCGAAGCUGCGGCAGCGACACUCAGGUGUUGUUGGGUAGGGGAGCGUUCUGUAAGCCUGCGAAGGUGGCCUGUGAGGGUUGCUGGAGGUAUCAGAAGUGCGAAUGCUGACAUAAGUAACGAUAAAGCGGGUGAAAAGCCCGCUCGCCGGAAGACCAAGGGUUCCUGUCCAACGUUAAUCGGGGCAGGGUGAGUCGACCCCUAAGGCGAGGCCGAAAGGCGUAGUCGAUGGGAAACGGGUUAAUAUUCCCGUACUUGGUGUUACUGCGAAGGGGGGACGGAGAAGGCUAUGUUGGCCGGGCGACGGUUGUCCCGGUUUAAGCGUGUAGGUGUGUGUUCCAGGUAAAUCCGGUUCACUUUAACACUGAGGCGUGAUGACGAGGCACUACGGUGCUGAAGCAACAAAUGCCCUGCUUCCAGGAAAAGCCUCUAAGCAUCAGGUAACAUCAAAUCGUACCCCAAACCGACACAGGUGGUCAGGUAGAGAAUACCAAGGCGCUUGAGAGAACUCGGGUGAAGGAACUAGGCAAAAUGGUGCCGUAACUUCGGGAGAAGGCACGCUGACAC